rnacentral:rRNA from 1 species
UACGAAGGGGGCUAGCGUUGCUCGGAAUCACUGGGCGUAAAGGGUGCGUAGGCGGGUCUUUAAGUCAGGGGUGAAAUCCUGGAGCUCAACUCCAGAACUGCCUUUGAUACUGAAGAUCUUGAGUUCGGGAGAGGUGAGUGGAACUGCGAGUGUAGAGGUGAAAUUCGUAGAUAUCGCAAGAACACCAGUGGCGAAGGCGGCUCACUGGCCCGGUACUGACGCUGAGGUGCGAAAGCGUGGGGAGCAAACAGG